GGUCAUACCGCAUCAAAACAGGGCACAAAUACUCAGCGACAUCUACGACCUUGCCCGGUCGGGCGCACUUCAAAUGAGCCUAGCCUUCUCUGCCAGUCGCUACCUGACCAAGGAAAGAGAGUUUCUGCCGUGGAAAGCAGUCUUCAAUGCCUGGAAAGGCAUCGAGAAGCUUCUUUUGGGCACCAACAUAUUCCCGUCCUGGAAGGCAUUUGUCGUGCGUCUCAUCACCUCCGCUUACACGGCGCUAAACUGGGAAGAGAAGCCUACCGACGAUGUUCAGAAAACGC